rnacentral:rRNA from 1 species
AACGCUAGCUACAGGCUUAACACAUGCAAGUCGAGGGGCAGCACGGGAGUAGCAAUACAACUGGUGGCGACCGGCGCACGGGUGAGUAACGCGUAUGCAACCUACCUAUCAGAGGGGAAUAACCCGGCGAAAGUCGGACUAAUACCGCAUAAAACAGGGGCACCGCAUGGUGAUAUUUGUUAAAGAAAUUCGCUGAUAGAUGGGCAUGCGUUCCAUUAGGUAGUUGGUGAGGUAACGGCUCACCAAGCCGACGAUGGAUAGGGGAACUGAGAGGUUGGUCCCCCACACUGGUACUGAGACACGGACCAGACUCCUACGGGAGGCAGCAGUGAGGAAUAUUGGUCAAUGGGCGAGAGCCUGAACCAGCCAAGUCGCGUGAGGGAAGACGGUCCUACGGAUUGUAAACCUCUUUUGUCGGGGAACAAAAGGCGCCACGCGUGGUGUAUAGAGUGUACCCGAAGAAAAAGCAUCGGCUAACUCCGUGCCAGCAGCCGCGGUAAUACGGAGGAUGCGAGCGUUAUCCGGAUUUAUUGGGUUUAAAGGGUGCGCAGGCGGCGGAUCAAGUCAGCGGUCAAAUUUCGGGGCUCAACCCCGUUUUGCCGUUGAAACUGAUCGGCUGGAGUCUGUUCGAGGGACGCGGAAUGCGAGGUGUAGCGGUGAAAUGCUUAGAUAUCACGAAGAACUCCGAUUG